AGGACGAACGCUGGCGGCGUGCUUAACACAUGCAAGUCGAGCGGAAAGGCCCUUCGGGGUACUCGAGCGGCGAACGGGUGAGUAACACGUGAGUAAUCUGCCCAUCGCUUCAGGAUAGCCAUCGGAAACGGUGAUUAAUACUGGAUAUGACAUUCCUUCGCAUGCUGGGGUGUGGAAAGUUUUUUCGGCGGUGGAUGUGCUCGCGGCCUAUCAGCUUGUUGGUGGGGUAAUGGCCUACCAAGGCUUUGACGGUAGCCGGCUGAGAGGGUGACCGGCCACACGUGGGACUGAGACACGGCCCAGACUCCUACGGGAGCAGCAGGUGGGGAAUAGUGGACAAUGGGCGAAGCCUGAUCCGAGCCAACGCCGCGUGGAGGAGUCGGACCGGUCCGUUCGGGUUACGUUAACCGUUC
rnacentral:rRNA from 1 species